GAUAUGGUUGGUUAUAAAAUACAUGCAAGUCGAGCGGACAGAAGGGAGCUUGCUCCCGGAUGUUAGCGGCGGACGGGUGAGUAACACGUGGGUAACCUGCCUGUAAGACUGGGAUAACUCCGGGAAACCGGAGCUAAUACCGGAUAGUUCCUUGAACCGCAUGGUUCAAGGAUGAAAGACGGUUUCGGCUGUCACUUACAGAUGGACCCGCGGCGCAUUAGCUAGUUGGUGAGGUAACGGCUCACCAAGGCGACGAUGCGUAGCCGACCUGAGAGGGUGAUCGGCCACACUGGGACUGAGACACGGCCCAGACUCCUACGGGAGGCAGCAGUAGGGAAUCUUCCGCAAUGGACGAAAGUCUGACGGAGCAACGCCGCGUGAGUGAUGAAGGUUUUCGGAUCGUAAAGCUCUGUUGUUAGGGAAGAACAAGUGCAAGAGUAACUGCUUGCACCUUGACGGUACCUAACCAGAAAGCCACGGCUAACUACGUGCCAGCAGCCGCGGUAAUACGUAGGUGGCAAGCGUUGUCCGGAAUUAUUGGGCGUAAAGGGCUCGCAGGCGGUUUCUUAAGUCUGAUGUGAAAGCCCCCGGCUCAACCGGGGAGGGUCAUUGGAAACUGGGAAACUUGAGUGCAGAAGAGGAGAGUGGAAUUCCACGUGUAGCGGUGAAAUGCGUAGAGAUGUGGAGGAACACCAGUGGCGAAGGCGACUCUCUGGUCUGUAACUGACGCUGAGGAGCGAAAGCGUGGGGAGCGAACAGGAUUAGAUACCCUGGGUAGUCCAAUA
rnacentral:rRNA from 1 species